GACGAACGCUGGCGGCGUGCCUAAUACAUGCAAGUCGAACGAGAGCAACCGGUGCUUGCACUGGUCAAUCUAGUGGCGAACGGGUGAGUAACACGUGGGUAACCUGCCCAUCAGAGGGGGAUAACAUCCGGAAACGGAUGCUAAAACCGCAUAGGUCUUCGAACCGCAUGGUUUGAAGAGGAAAAGAGGCGCAAGCUUCUGCUGAUGGAUGGACCCGCGGUGCAUUAGCUAGUUGGUGAGGUAACGGCUCACCAAGGCCGUGAUGCAUAGCCGACCUGGGAGGGUGAUCGGCCACAUUGAGACUGAGACACGGCCCAAACUCCUACGGGAGGCAGCAGUAGGGAAUCUUCCGCAAAGGACGCAAGUCUGACGGAGCAACGCCGCGUGAGUGAAGAAGGUUUUCGGAUCGUAAAACUCUGUUGUUAGAGAAGAACAAGUGCUAGAGUAACUGUUAGCGCCUUGACGGUAUCUAACCAGAAAGCCACGGCUAACUACGUG
rnacentral:rRNA from 1 species